UUUUUUAAAAAGAAAACCUGAUUGAAGUAUAAUUAAUAUAGUGUUAUAUUAGUUUCAGGUGCACAAUAUAAUGAUUCAGCAGUUUUAUACAUUUCUCAUCACUCUUCAUGAUAAGUCUAUAUUCUUAAUCCCCUUUAUCUAUUUCACCAUUCCCCUCCCCAAAAAACCUCACCUCUGGCAACUACCAGUUUGUCCUCUGUAUUUGUUAAAACAGAAUAAUUUUCCUGAUUUUAAAAGAAUUUUAAAAUAAAAAUAAUGCAAUGUAUCUAUCCAAAAUUAAUUACUCAAGUUAAGGAUAUGUACAGUGGUCUACAUAAGACAUAGCUAUAUCUAAUUUCAGAGUUAUGUAUUAGUAAUAUUUUUGUCAGGUAUCCCUGCUCAAUGUAAUUUUUAAAGGAAAUCUACUGUAAAAACUGCACUGAAAAUAAGAUCCAUACCCCCACUCCUUCCAUAAUUGCAGCCACUCUCUUUUUCCAUUACCACCCCCACAACACAAAUAAUUGGAUUAGCAUCCCCAAAAAAAGGAGCUAAGGAGAAUGUAGAAAAGGUAAAGAUGGAAACGAAGUGGUCUCACCUAUGAUCAUGGGAAAAGCAAUCAAUCAACCAAUAAUAAAGAUAACUGUGCGAGUCUUAAUUUUGACCAAAAAUCCAUGAAUUUUUUUGAUAGGAAUUUGAUUUGAAGUAUUAUUUUUCUCACAGUGGUUCCAGAACAGAGUUUGCCCUGGCUAAACAGCUGCUCUCUUUAUCCCUCGGGCUACCAAUGACAAAGAAGCCUGGACACAAGGGCUUGCUGAGAGCCUCCAAACCAGAAUGACCUCCCCAGGACCCUGAAUCUGCAAGAGCAACCUUUCUAAGUUUCACCUCCUGAAACUGAAUGACUUUGCAUCAUUCCCUGAAAGAGACCCCACAUUUGUGGGAUAACCAUUCUUCUCUGAUUCCAAACUGCUUCCAGAGCAAAUGUGCCCCAACAUGUCAUAUGAAGGAGGCUGCACAUUUUGACAUUUUGAUGUUAGUAUCAGCCUUAUUGAUGAAUAGUCCCAAGUUUGGAAGUAUUUUGAAAGCUGCCCUUGUCUGCCGCAGUAGGGAUGCGCAAACCUGAUUAGACUUUCAUAGUCCACAGUGAGCAUUAAUUUGUUCAGCGCUGUCUUCAGGUGGAACAUCUGCAUAAAUCUAGCUUUGUGAAUAUUUUUAAACUGAGAGAUUUUCCAUCUGUUUUGGAGUUAUAGCAGUCCACAUUAUCCUCACUUGAGCUCUUAAUGAUAUAUGUGUGAUGGAAACAAGACGUCUUAACGUACAUUCAUGGACACCAUGGAUCCCAGAGAGAAGCUGACAGAAACAGUCUGACCUCCACUGUAUCAGUGAGGUCAACUGCUUGAUCUCUGGUGCCUAAGAUUAUUGCAGGGAAAUGUUUGAUGAGGAAAAGAAAGUAAUCAAAUUCCUGGAUGAGUUAUGCAAUAGGUUAAGAAGAAAAGUCUGAAGUAAGCUAUAACUAAGUUCUUUGCAACCUUGCUCUUCAACGUGUGGUUAAAAAAAAAAAACACAAAGCAAAUAAACAAAAAAAAGCAAAAAUAGACCCAUAAAUACAGAAUAA